CUACGUGCCAGCAGCCGCGGUAAUACGGAAGGUCCAGGCGUUAUCCGGAUUUAUUGGGUUUAAAGGGAGUGUAGGCGGUUUGUUAAGCGUGUUGUGAAAUUUAGGUGCUCAACAUUUAACUUGCAGCGCGAACUGUCAGACUUGAGUACACGCAACGUAUGCGGAAUUCAUGGUGUAGCGGUGAAAUGCUUAGAUAUCAUGAAGAACUCCGAUUGCGAAGGCAGCAUACGGGAGUGUAACUGACGCUUAAGCUCGAAGGUGCGGGUAUCGAACAGGAUUAGAUACCCUGGUAGUCCGCACAGUAAACGAUGGAUGCCCGCUGUUGGUACCUGGUAUCAGCGGCUAAGCGAAAGCAUUAAGCAUCCCACCUGGGGAGUACGCCGGCAACGGUGAAACUCAAAGGAAUUGACGGGGGCCCGCACAAGCGGAGGAACAUGUGGUUUAAUUCGAUGAUACGCGAGGAACCUUACCCGGGCUUGA
rnacentral:rRNA from 1 species